GCCUUGCCGUUUGUUUUAGAAGCUGCCUCCCCAUCUACUGCAAUGUGUUUGAAAUUGGGAGGGGGGAAGAGUGAAAACUUCUGCCUGAGUGGAAGAACAAGACAGGGAAGGGUGGAGGGAAAUGCCAAGCGGUGGGAGACGCGAAAAGGAAAGGUUGACUAGGAUGCACUCAGCCGGCAGAGAUCAGAGCCAUAUCUGUAGUGGUGCUUGGCUUAAGAGCAAGUUCACCCUCGAUUGUUGCUAAGCAAUGAAGACGAAGAGAGAGAAAGAGAGAGAGAAGCAGAGCAAGAAAAUGAAAAAGCCUUUGAGGUCAUCCAGAGCGACUGCCAAAUUAAAUAUAGAUGCUCCCGCUGCACGGUCUGACUUGCCGUGAAUGCAAAGAUGCUAAAUAACUCCAGCCUCUCUCCCAGACUAUCAGCUGUCAAAAUGUGGUCCAGUAUCUACAUCACAAGCAGCACCUGCAGGCGGAGAGCAUGGUCUGUGUCCUAGUAUGCUGGUUAACCACAUGUAGGGGCCUGAACCAUUGGCACCUGCCUCUGAUCCAAAAGGGAGGAAAGAAAUCCCUUCGCCUAUCAGCAGUAACAGGUCUUGCUGCAGGCAGAUGAUAACUCUGUUCUACCACCUCAUUGACAGCCAACGAAGCUUGACAGACAGAAGGACCAAAGGGAAGCAAUUGCUUUUUUCUUUUUUUCUUUUUAAGGAACUAAAAAGCACCGUCUGCGCUUGCUGAAAUGUCUUCACACCUUGCUUGAAUCACACAGAAGCAGAAUGAACGACAUCACUUGUUGGGAUUACGCGAAGCAGGAGGAGAACGUCCAGUGUGGGAGAUGCUGAGCUCAUGCUAUUGGAACUGAGCAAGAAGAUUCAGUUGUGGUAGAGCAUCUCUUUUGCAUGAAAAAGCUCCCAGGUAUAAUCCCCAGCAUUGCUAGGUAAGGCUCGGAGACACACCUGUCUGAAGUCCUGCAGAACUGCUGCCAGUCAGGGAAGACGAAACCAAGGACACACUUCUCUCUUGCGCCAUCUUGGUGGGAAUGUGGACAGCAGGGCGCUCUUCCCGAGUCCAGCUCCACGUGGUUUCACAAAUACCUGGAAAUUAUCCAACACCAGUGUUUAAGCGGGGGGUCUUUCUCCAAGUUGCUUGAAGAGCAGCAGUAAACAUUUCCAGCACACAUCUGCACCAUCAGAGCAUGGUCUUGAGCUUUCAAAUAGAACAAAGGGAUCAUGAGGAGAACAGGGGUGGAAAUAGCAACUAUUUGUUUUGUCUCUUAACUGACAGCGGGGGAAGAGCUGGCGAAAUUCAAUUUGUGGCUUGUGUGCCGAGGCACUUGGGUCCUCAUGAAUCACCUAGAAGAAUCUGUGCCAACUGCAAGACCAGCCAAGGCUUCCUUCAGGUUUAGAUUGAUGAGCAGAAGCAAGCGGCCACUUCAGAGCUGACAAAAGAGACUUCUUUGUGAAGUGGAAUGAGCGCCAAGCUUGUCUGGAGGAGUGGGAAUCGACCAUUUUUACAGGCAGAACACACUUUUUUCAGGAAUGUAGGAAGUUGCCUUGAACCAAGUCAGACCACUGGUCCAUCAUCACAGUACUAUCUGCUAGGGGUGUGAAUCAGCUCUUUGUGGGAGUCAAAUAACAAGCUGAAUUAUUAGUCUCUGUAGCUAGUCUCAGGCACAGUUAUCCUCCUGCGGUUUGACUACACCCCUGGGGGUGCAUUCCAUUGUCUCUUGAGACAGACAAAUGCCUACAACAACAACAACGCCUGUGUGGUUACGUUUAGUCUAUUCUUUUCUUGAAAGGUAAAGCUAUGACUUAUUCAGCAGCAGAGGACAUCAUGUGUUCCUUACCAUGAUGUAAUGUCUAUCAAUAGACAUUAAUUAACUGAUGUAACCACUGAGUUGGCAAUGUCUAAGUUGUGAGGUUUUCGGUACAGCGAACUAAUUAUUUAUCUAUUGCGAGAAAGAGUGGCAAGUGCUUGUGGGUGUAAGAAUCUCUGUGGAGAAAGAUGCUGUUUUAAUUAAAUCAACUGCUGGCAGACAUAAUAAGCUUUUGGGCCUAUUUCCGUUCUGUAGUAACUGAGUGCCAUUAACCAAUCAUUCAACCUAUGGACUGGCUACUCCACCCAUCGCAAAUUUGCACCUGGUGUGAAUCGUUCAAUUUCAGGUCCCCCGCCCCCCUCAUUUUUCCAAUCUUUGGUUCAAUUUUCCACAUUUCCAUAUCAGUUUAAUAAAUUAAUAAAUAACUUACUUCAUGAACAUUCAACUACAGGCCUAGCUUGCCCCAUAAUGUUCCCCAGUGCCUAUGAAUCCAAACCCUUCCUCCUGACACCAUCGUCUCAUUUUGAUAUUGAGACCACAAAGCUGAGCCUGUCUGUCUGGCCCUGCACGUGGAACUGGUAGCAUUUCAGAGAAAGCCAUCUUGGAGUGGCACCCAGGGCCUGGUGUGAGAUGGAGCAUUGUUGAGCCAACUGGGAGUGGACACCAUAGUCCUGGUUAUAUUAAAUAAACAUGUAAAUAGCCAAUUGCCUAGAAAAUCCAACACGGCCACAUCUGAUUUUGAGAGAGGAAAAUCAGAGAUUUAAGAGUCUCAUGCUCUACUGACUGAAGUAUCCCAACAAAUGAGGAGACUGUUUUUAAAAAAAGAAAGAAAGAAAGAAAUGUUGAAACGGAAAGUCAAAAGGGUCAAAUCACUCCAAAAUGCUUUUAGCUCCAAAACGCUAUUAGAUACUCAGCUGGAGUAUAUACCACAGAUUCAUGAAAAGUACCAUAAGAGACAAGAGGACACUGGCAUGAUUAACAAGUAGAGUGAGAGAAGCUAUUAGAGGCAAGAAGGUUUCCUUCAAAUAACUGAAGUCUUGUCCAGAUGAAGAGAAGAAGGAGAGGAAGAGAAGAAGAGUUUGGAUUUGAUAUCCCGCCUUUCACUCCCUUUUAAGGAGUCUCAAAGCGGCUAACAUUCU